rnacentral:lncRNA from 1 species
ACGUGCUAUAUAUAAUAUUUAUACUGUACCACACCGUACCAAAUUUGUUUAUUUUAUUUAUUUGUUGUAAAAAAAAAAAAAAAAAAAAAAAAAUGUUUGGAAAAAGAAUACACGAUACACCCAACAUGAUAAUGACGCCGGAAGUAUAUGAAGAAGAAGACAAAAAAAUAAAACAUGGUAAAAAACUUGUUAUUGAGAAUUGUGGCAAAUAUAUGAACAAAGAUAAGAAUGCAGGUGUUAUAUGUAAUAGAAUAAGUGAAUUAAAUUUAAACUCAAGAAAAAAUAUAUCAUUUAUAAAAACUGACAGCUCUCAAAUGAAAGAUGUUUUAAAUCAUGCAGAGCAUGUAGAAUUAGAAAACGUACCUUCAAAAAGACCAUUAGUUUCUUAUUCAAAAUAUGAUGACCAGCAAAAAUAUUUUGAAACAAAAAUAAUACCAAACGAAGACGGAAAAAUGAGUAUAUAUGUAAAAAGAAAAAGUGGAAGUGCAACUGUUAAUAUUAAUAUAGAUGAAUAUGAUUUGGAAAAAACAUAUCAUACAUGGAAAAGAAUUUUAGGUAAAACAUGUCCUCAUAUUAAAUCGAAUUUAGAGUUUGAUAGAUUCUUAACAGUAAAUGAAAAUGCUGAAAGAAGUGAUAAGAUGCCCACCAUAAUUAAUCGAUGUAUACCGAAUGCUAAUCCAGAUGGACCAUUUGAACAAGAAAGACUGGAUCGACCUAAACAAGCAAGAGAUCAUUUAGAUAGAACACUAACACCGCUAACUGAUGAUAAACCUAAAAUAUGUUUAAAGCUAAAUAAUGACAAAUAUAAGCAAUCAAAUGUAUUUCCAUAUUAUUACCAGGAACCUACUAAUACUACUACAACUACUACUACCAAUAUGUCUAAUUCUAAUAUUAACGAUAAUAGAAAUGAUGAUACUAAUUUAAAGAAUAAAAAAUCAGAACGAACAGCCAACUAUUCAUGGAUGAACUCGAACAGAAUUAAAAAUAUAUUAACUCAUAAUUAUGAUGAUGAAAUUGAAGAAAAAUAUCAAAAUGGUCAUGGUAUUUUUAGAGGACAGUUAGAUAGCAAAACAAAUCAGAAUCAGAAAGGUGACAAAAAUAUUCAGAUUCAACCUGUUAUAACUGGUAAAGUUGGGCAACCUAUUUUAUCUCAACAAGAUCCUGCUCAACUAAAUUACAACACAAAUAAUGAUUUAUAUAUGGAACGAACUUGUUCGAAUAAUAACAAUUUUUUACAUAACCAUGACGACUAUCAUACAGAGUCUUACAAAAAUAAUGAGCAAUGUCAAAAUGUUGGUUAUUUCAAACCUGAAAAAAAUUAUAUUUGUUCAUGUAGUAAUAAUGAUAAUAAUAAUGAUAAUAAUAGCAAGAAACAAAAUAAUUAUGAACAACAAAAUGGAUCAUACACACAUCAUACAAAUGAUACUUAUCAUCAAACAUGCGAUAGGCUGAUGUCACAAUAUGGGCAUGAGCAUGAACAUACGCAUUAGCAAGAACAAUACGCAUUAGCAAGAACAAUACGCAUUAGCAAGAACAAUACGCAUGGGCAAAAUGGUUUAUCUCAUUUUUAAUACAAAUAUUGAUAGUAAUGUAAAAAAAAAAAAAUAAAUAAAUAAUAACAUCCUAUACA